rnacentral:miRNA from 1 species
CAGGAGCUUGGACAUGUU